GGGGGCGACAAGGUUUCGACGGGGGCGAAAGACGCGUGAGUUGCAUGCCGAGGUCCCCGGUUGGCCUCGUAAAAAAACCGGGAAAAACACAACUGCCAACGAACCAUUGGCACUUGCCGCCUAAUUAGGCGACACGUCCUGCCGUUGACCGCCUGCUAGACGGACAGGGCGCCGACAGCGGGCCCCGCCCCGGUCGCGGCGCAGAGCCGGCCAGCGGGUACUCACUGCACCUAGCGGUCCGCGACGCCGCGCCUGACGACGUCAUGGAUGGCGAAUCCCAAUCGAAAGGCUAAGCAUGUAGAUACGCACGCCGAAGCGCCUUCGGACGGGGGUUCGAUUCCCCCCGCCUCCACCA
rnacentral:tmRNA from 1 species